rnacentral:rRNA from 1 species
AUGUUGUUUAUUUUCCCCUUGGACAAUGUACAGCUGCGUUUCAGAGAUGCUCUCAAGCAAGUUUAUGAGGCUAACUUGUUUCCAGCACACGACCGCAGUAUGAAGUAUGAGCUGGAGUACGGCGGUUCCAAAAUGGAGCUAGUAUUUGUUAAGUGCACGACAGGCCUUAGUGACGGUCUUCCAGAAGAUAGAGCCCGUGAGCUGAUUAAACAGGAAAUUCGCUGGACGCGUGAGUCGUCAGGAACGUAUGAGCGGUACGCCAGGAAGAAGCUCAAGACUGCAGAACUGAUAGGGUUGAUUCCCAAGGACAAGAUAGCAGCUCCGUAG